rnacentral:rRNA from 1 species
ACUAAGCGUACACGGUGGAUGCCUGGGCAGUCAGAGGCGAUGAAGGACGUACUAACUUGCGAUAAGCGCAGAUAAGGCAGUAAGAGCCGUUUGAGUCUGCGAUUUCCGAAUGGGGAAACCCAACUGCAUAAGCAGUUACUGUUAACUGAAUACAUAGGUUAACAGAGCAAACCGGGGGAACUGAAACAUCUAAGUACCCCGAGGAGAAGAAAUCAACCGAGAUUCCGGUAGUAGCGGCGAGCGAACCUGGAUUAGCCCUUAAGCACUCGGUGAAGUAGGUGAACAAGCUGGAAAGCUUGGCGAUACAGGGUGAUAGCCCCGUAACCGACGCUUCAUCGAGCGUGAAAUCGAGUAGGACGGGACACGUGAUAUCCUGUCUGAAUAUGGGGGACCAUCCUCCAAGGCUAAAUACUCCUGACUGACCGAUAGUGAACCAGUACCGUGAGGGAAAGGCGAAAAGAACCCCUGUGAGGGGAGUGAAAUAGAACCUGAAACCGUGUACGUACAAGCAGUAGGAGCACCUUCGUGGUGUGACUGCGUACCUUUUGUAUAAUGGGUCAGCGACUUAUAUUCAGUGGCAAGGUUAACCGUAUAGGGGAGCCGUAGCGAAAGCGAGUCUUAACUGGGCGCUCAGUCUCUGGAUAUAGACCCGAAACCGGGUGAUCUAGCCAUGGGCAGGUUGAAGGUUGAGUAACAUCAACUGGAGGACCGAACCGACUAAUGUUGAAAAAUUAGCGGAUGACUUGUGGCUAGGGGUGAAAGGCCAAUCAAACUCGGAGAUAGCUGGUUCUCCCCGAAAGCUAUUUAGGUAGCGCCUCGGACGAAUACUACUGGGGGUAGAGCACUGUUAAGGCUAGGGGGUCAUCCCGACUUACCAACCCUUUGCAAACUCCGAAUACCAGUAAGUACUAUCCGGGAGACACACGGCGGGUGCUAACGUCCGUCGUGGAGAGGGAAACAACCCAGACCGCCAGCUAAGGUCCCAAAGUAUUGCUAAGUGGGAAACGAUGUGGGAAGGCUCAGACAGCUAGGAUGUUGGCUUAGAAGCAGCCAUCAUUUAAAGAAAGCGUAAUAGCUCACUAGUCGAGUCGGCCUGCGCGGAAGAUGUAACGGGGCUAAGCAAUACACCGAAGCUGCGGCAAUGUCUUUUAGACAUUGGGUAGGGGAGCGUUCUGUAAGCCGUUGAAGGUGAAUCGUAAGGUUUGCUGGAGGUAUCAGAAGUGCGAAUGCUGACAUGAGUAACGACAAAGGGGGUGAAAAACCUCCUCGCCGGAAGACCAAGGGUUCCUGUCCAACGUUAAUCGGGGCAGGGUGAGUCGACCCCUAAGGUGAGGCCGAAAGGCGUAAUCGAUGGGAAACGGGUUAAUAUUCCCGUACUUCUGACUAUUGCGAUGGGGGGACGGAGAAGGCUAGGUGGGCCAGGCGACGGUUGUCCUGGUUCAAGUGCGUAGGCUUGAGAGUUAGGUAAAUCCGGCUCUCUCUAAGGCUGAGACACGACGUCGAGCUACUACGGUAGUGAAGUCAUUGAUGCCAUGCUUCCAGGAAAAGCCUCUAAGCUUCAGAUAGUCAGGAAUCGUACCCCAAACCGACACAGGUGGUCGGGUAGAGAAUACCAAGGCGCUUGAGAGAACUCGGGUGAAGGAACUAGGCAAAAUGGUACCGUAACUUCGGGAGAAGGUACGCUCUUGAUGGUGAAGUCCCUCGCGGAUGGAGCUGACGAGAGUCGCAGAUACCAGGUGGCUGCAACUGUUUAUUAAAAACACAGCACUGUGCAAAAUCGCAAGAUGACGUAUACGGUGUGACGCCUGCCCGGUGCCGGAAGGUUAAUUGAUGGGGUUAGCGCAAGCGAAGCUCUUGAUCGAAGCCCCGGUAAACGGCGGCCGUAACUAUAACGGUCCUAAGGUAGCGAAAUUCCUUGUCGGGUAAGUUCCGACCUGCACGAAUGGCGUAAUGAUGGCCACGCUGUCUCCACCCGAGACUCAGUGAAAUUGAAAUCGCUGUGAAGAUGCAGUGUACCCGCGGCUAGACGGAAAGACCCCGUGAACCUUUACUACAGCUUGGCACUGAACAUUGAACCUACAUGUGUAGGAUAGGUGGGAGGCUAUGAAGACGUGACGCCAGUUGCGUUGGAGCCGUCCUUGAAAUACCACCCUUGUAUGUUUGAUGUUCUAACUUAGACCCAUUAUCUGGGUUGAGGACAGUGCCUGGUGGGUAGUUUGACUGGGGCGGUCUCCUCCCAAAGAGUAACGGAGGAGCACGAAGGUGGGCUAAUCACGGUUGGACAUCGUGAGGUUAGUGCAAUGGCAUAAGCCCGCUUAACUGCGAGAAUGACGGUUCGAGCAGGUGCGAAAGCAGGUCAUAGUGAUCCGGUGGUUCUGUAUGGAAGGGCCAUCGCUCAACGGAUAAAAGGUACUCCGGGGAUAACAGGCUGAUACCGCCCAAGAGUUCAUAUCGACGGCGGUGUUUGGCACCUCGAUGUCGGCUCAUCACAUCCUGGGGCUGAAGUCGGUCCCAAGGGUAUGGCUGUUCGCCAUUUAAAGUGGUACGCGAGCUGGGUUUAGAACGUCGUGAGACAGUUCGGUCCCUAUCUGCCGUGGGCGUUGGAAGAUUGAAGGGGGCUGCUCCUAGUACGAGAGGACCGGAGUGGACGAACCUCUGGUGUUCGGGUUGUGUCGCCAGACGCAUUGCCCGGUAGCUAAGUUCGGAAUUGAUAAGCGCUGAAAGCAUCUAAGCGCGAAGCGAGCCCUGAGAUGAGUCUUCCCUGACAGUUUAACUGUCCUAAAGGGUUGUUCGAGACUAGAACGUUGAUAGGCAGGGUGUGUAAGCGUUGUGAGGCGUUGAGCUAACCUGUACUAAUUGCCCGUGAGGCUUAACC